UGGGGAGCGGGGGCGGCCGCAGGGAUGGCGAGGAAGAGCGGGACAGCUCUCCCAGCGGGACGGGAGAGGCAGCGGGGCUGUGAGGAGCCGCCGCUCCUUCCUCCCCGUGCCCCCCGGGCCGUGCCCGCAGCCCGGCCGGUCCCCUCCGGCCGCCUGUACCUGAGGGCAGAGCGCGGGCCCCGCGGCGCAGCUGGAAUUUGAUCUCUGCUCCCUGUAAUCUCCCGUAACUGAAAAUUCACUUUUUCCGCCUGCCGGCCGCUUUCUCUUUUGCCUCCUCAUUCUCCAGCCAGCUCCGCUCUGCGCUGGGUGGUUUGGCUGGGUCACCUCACGCCAGUCUGUGUCCUGCUGUGACAGGAGUAAAGGCUUUUCUGAAAAGGUUCUUAGCAGUAACAGAGGAAUGCAGAGCGGUACAGGCUGCGCUCCGAAGCUCUCCAGAGGCAGCAAGCCCCAACAAGCCUGUCACCUCCUCUAUCUCAGCCUCCGCGGCUUUGAAAAAGAAGUUAGAUGUGGAAAAAAAGGCAUAAGAUCAACAGGCUUUAGAGAGUCAUCCUGGAACUCGAGGUGCCCCGGGAUACAACAGUUUAUCUCGAAAAACUCCUGAUCCCUUGGACAUCACUGGCAGAGAAAGCCAAUAACUUCUGUCCUGGUAAAGAAAUAAAAUAGGCUACAAAUAUAUUAUCUAUGCUGUAAUCAAGUUGCUUUAUACAGUAAUGAAAUGGUCAUAAUAAAGACAUU